AUACGUAGGGGGCGAGCGUUGUCCGGAAUGAUUGGGCGUAAAGGGCGCGUAGGCGGCCCGGUAAGUCUGGAGUGAAAGUCCUGUUUUUAAGAUGGGAAUUGCUUUGGAUACUGUCGGGCUUGAGUGCAGGAGAGGUAAGUGGAAUUCCCAGUGUAGCGGUGAAAUGCGUAGAGAUUGGGAGGAACACCAGUGGCGAAGGCGACUUACUGGACUGUAACUGACGCUGAGGCGCGAAAGUGUGGGGAGCAAACAGGAUUAGAUACCCUGGUAGUCCACACGGUAAACGAUGAAUGCUAGGUGUAGGGGGUAUCGACCCCUCCUGUGCCGGAGUAAACGCAAUAAGCAUUCCGCCUGGGGAGUACGGCCGCAAGGUUGAAACUCAAAUGAAUUGACGGGG
rnacentral:rRNA from 1 species